rnacentral:rRNA from 1 species
AACGAACGCUGGCGGCAUGCCUAACACAUGCAAGUCGAACGAGAACUUCGGGUCUAGGGGCGCACGGGUGCGUAACGCGUGGGAACCUGCACUUAGGUUCGGAAUAACUCCCCGAAAGGGGUGCUAAUACCGGAUAAUGUCUUCGGACCAAAGAUUUAUCGCCUUUGGAUGGGCCCGCGUUGGAUUAGCUAGUUGGUAGGGUACAAGCCUACCAAUGCGACGAUCCAUAGCUGGUCUGAGAGGAUGAUCAGCCACCCUGGGACUGAGACACGGCCCAGACUCCUACGGGAGGCAGCAGUGGGGAAUAUUGGACAAUGGGCGAAAGCCUGAUCCAGCAAUGCCGCGUGAGUGAUGAAGGCCUUAGGGUUGUAAAGCUCUUUUACCCGGGAUGAUAAUGACAGUACCGGGAGAAUAAGCUCCGGCUAACUCCGUG